CAGCAGCCGCGGGAAUACGAAGGGGGCUAGCGUUGCUCGGAAUGACUGGGCGUAAAGGGCGCGUAGGCGGCGAUCAAAGUCAGGCGUGAAAUUCCUGGGCUCAACCUGGGGGCUGCGUUUGAUACUUGAUUGCUAGAGUGGGGAAGAGGGUCGUGGAAUUCCCAGUGUAGAGGUGAAAUUCGUAGAUAUUGGGAAGAACACCGGUGGCGAAGGCGGCGACCUGGUCCUUGACUGACGCUGAGGCGCGAAAGCGUGGGGAGCAAACAGGAUUAGAUACCCGCGUAGUCCCUGUCUCUUAUAC
rnacentral:rRNA from 1 species